rnacentral:lncRNA from 1 species
CGAGGGUCUAAGAAAGCCUAGAAAUGUGUAUACAAAAAAGGGAAAAGAAUCAAAAAUAGCAUUUCAGUAGAAGAUAAGAAAUUCGAGCAUCUCCUUCUUUCUAACUAGUACUGCUCCAAACUUAAGCAGACAGGUGCUUGUGAUGAGUACUCUGUGGUGACACGUACCACCUGAGAAUGUGGUUGCUGACAGUUGCUAGGGAGAAGCUCAUGGAAACCAACAGAACCAAGGCAAGGAAUGUGGAGCUCUGAGAUGGUGAAGAGAAUGGAUGCAGGCAAAAAGCGAUGGAGGAGAGAUCUACACAUGCAGAUGAGGUACCAUACUUGGAUUGGAAUUGUUUACCAAUGUCGGUGGAUCAGAGGCCCGGGUGUUAAUCAAGAAAGAAUGAAGGGUCACAGUAUGCUUCACCAAAGAAAACAUAUUUGCCAGAAGAUACUGUGGACAGCAAACCUCUAUUGUGGAAGAACACUAUUUCUUGAGAUAAAUGCAGUGCUUUGUGCGGAACGUUGGGGUCACUAAACUUACCUAGUUUAUUCCAUCAAAUUAAAAUAUAUCUGCAGAGUAUCCCGG